rnacentral:rRNA from 1 species
GGAUGAACGCUAGCGGCAGGCUUAAUACAUGCAAGUCGAGGGGCAGCACGGGUAGCAAUACCUGGUGGCGACCGGCAAACGGGUGCGGAACACGUACGCAACCUUCCCAUAACUGGUGAAUAGCCUUUCGAAAGAGAGAUUAAUACACCGUAACAUAAUGAAGAGGCAUCUCUUUAUUAUUAUAGGCAGCAAUGUCGGUUUUGGA